UCCCUGUAGUGCCAUGAAUAGCGUGUUGGACUUCUAUUCCGAAGGUCGUGGGUUUGAACCCUACCUGGAGAA